ensembl:lincRNA
GCCUAACAUAACUGCCUCCAUGUUAACAUCUGAGUCACCUCACUGGCACAGACAUGCCGAUGACUGUACUAAUGGCCUUGCUCAUUUAAUGACCUAAUCUGUUACAUAACAACUGUAUCUCAUCAUAACUGUUACUGUACAAUAUGUUUCUCCUUUAUCAUUUUAUGAUUAGCUACUUCCUCUUACAAUUUUGUGUUUUUUGCCUUUAUAUACUGCUUGUGCCUGCAAAUAAAUGAGACCUUGACAAACCUCUGCUUGGUCUCCUUCUUUCUGCACCUCUUUUGUCCCAUUUCCAGGUAUCUCCCCUUCUCGAGCUUUGCUAAUUACAAGCCCUGCUGGCUGGGGCAAGUGGCGCCCAACGUGGGGCUCGAGACACGGGGUCUUCACCUGGUGGAUGCUGCUCGGAAGAUCAGCCGAUCGACCCCAGGACCUCGGCCCAGUUGGCGAGUUUGGCUCUGCGUACAGUCCGCUCAGACCCACACAUCUGAGAAAGCGACCUAUGAGGUAUUCUCCCUUCUCUUCUGCUCCACCUACUUAUGGUUGUAGAUAUGUUUAUAGACCUACCACUAUCCCUGAACAGCUUGACACUGGGUUUCCACUGAGGAGACUGGAUUGGGACCCCAACACUGAAGCAGCAGAGAAAACUCCAGGAUGUGUCUCGGUGCACAAGUGGAAAUCUCAUUCCAAAAAGCAAAGUUUCCUUUCUUUAUCCAGAAUGAGGAUUUAUGGGACUGGUCAUUUCGAAAUUCCACAAACUUAAGCUUAUCUGCAGGACUUUAGAAAACAGAUUCACAUUUUCCUCAAACCAACAUUUGGAAACCUGCUGCUGCAUUGGGAGAAAUACGCUUAUUGUCAGAUGUCAAAGUUACUAGCCUUAGUUUGAAUGUUUUUGGCAUGGGGCCUCUAAUAUGUGAAAUAUCAUAAAUACUGUGUUAUCUCAAAUCAAGUUUAUAUACAGCGCAAAACAUUACAUGUGCUCUUGGCCCUUAAAGAAGGUUCCUCCGAAAAUUUGGGUAUUUACCUCGCUCAGAUAAAAAGAGAGCUUCAAUGAGGGUCCAGAAAGUCAAAGACGGGUAAGAGGAAAAGUUUUGACUGAUCAACCUAAGACAGGGGCUUCUGUUAAAUCUUCAUCAUGUUAUAGACCUAUAAAACAGAUGACCCCAAUGACGGAUAAGACAGCCAAACGCUUUUCCCAACCUAAGACAGGCUCGGACAUACCCUUGAAAAACAUCAAAAUUUAUAAAAACAAAGGAGGAAUUAUUGGGCGCUGGCCUGCGAGCUGGCAGGAAUGCUGUCAUCCUAAGCUAAGUGGAACCAUUUUAGAGUUAAAUUUCUGUUUUAGUGACUAAGUUUCUGUUUCCUAAGACUGUAGUUCCUUAUCUUUGUUACCCAGCCAUUAUAAUUGCCAAGGUUACUAUUACCCAUGAUAGUUUAUGUUUAUGCCUAUUUCUUCUUAUCUUGCUAGACAUUUUGUGCUGCUCUGAAGUUUCUCAAACUUAACAACCUUCGAGUUUUUUGAGUCAUAUGAUGUUUUAUGACUUCCUGACUCUAUAGAAGUUCCUAAUGCUUGUUUUAGUUCAGAUAAGAUUGUUAUGGUAUUAUCAUGUCCCCUCCUCUUAGAUUUAUGUUUUUUUUGCUUUAAAAGUCUGACAAUGGCCCAACCUUCAUGGCUAAAGUGUCUAAACUAAUUAGCCUAAGCAUUGUAAUUAGAUGGAAUUUACAUUGUGCUUACAGACCUCAAAGUUCAGAACAGAUAGAAAGAACUAACAGAACACUAAAAGAGAUUUUAACUAAAUUGAGCCUAGAGACUGAAUUAAAUUGGGUGGAGCUUCUCCCUUUUGCUCUGUUGCGUAUUCGAUGUACUCCCAAGCCUCCUCUGAAUCUGUCUCGCCCUUCAAGAAAAAUGUUGUUUUUAUGCAAAUAAGUCUGGUAUUGUCAGGGAUAAAAUUAAAACCUUACAGGAAGAUUUAGAAAAGCACAGAAAAGAAUUAUAUGAAAAUCCUUUCUGGACUGGGCUCAAUGGAUUUUUGCCUUAUCUCUUCCCUUUACUAGGGCCUUUAUUAGGGCUCUUAAUAUUAUUAACUAUAGGGCCUCUAUUAUUUAAUAAACUCAUGGCCUUUAUCAAACAACAGAUAGAUAUCAUGCAAGCUAAGUCCAUCCAAAUUCAUUACCAUCACCUCAAUCUACUUGAUCAAGGCUAUCCAGAGGAGGAUUGUCCACCUGACUCCUGCUAAGGAAUAAUCUCCUUUAAGUCCUGCUAAACCUCCUUCGGAACCUGUCAGUACCCAGAGCUGACAUAUCCCAAAGCAGAUAUAGGCACCUACAGAGGCCCGGGACAAAGUACCCGGGGAAGGAUAAGACAAACUUGUUUGUCUUUCUGGGUCCUUUGAGGAGCAAGCCUGGUUGCAUAGGGGCUGAUGCCUAAAGUCCAAAAAACAUUUGUGACAGCCCCUCCCCGAAAAUCGGCAUCAAAAAGAACUCGGGGAUCCGGCCUCUACUCCCCCUCUAUGGUUAAAGCCUACUGACAAGAUCAGGACACCUGGGAUGGUCUUUCUAAACUAAUUGGCCUCCGCUCCUGGCUUGCGUGAUAUAUAUCUCUUCAUUUUUUACUGUAAAAAGGGAGGAGAUGUAGGAGACCAAAUAUUUAUACUCUGAGAGUUGUUUUUGAGCCUAACAUAACUGCCUCCAUGUUAACAUCUGAGUCACCUCACUGGCACAGACAUGCCGAUGACUGUACUAAUGGCCUUGCUCAUUUAAUGACCUAAUCUGUUACAUAACAACUGUAUCUCAUCAUAACUGUUACUGUACAAUAUGUUUCUCCUUUAUCAUUUUAUGAUUAGCUACUUCCUCUUACAAUUUUGUGUUUUUUGCCUUUAUAUACUGCUUGUGCCUGCAAAUAAAUGAGACCUUGACAAACCUCUGCUUGGUCUCCUUCUUUCUGUGCCUCUUUUGUCCCAUUUCCAGGUAUCUCCCCUUCUCGAGCUUUGCUAAUUACAAGCCCUGCUGGCUGGGGCAUUGGAAUAUCUAAGAAUGUAAUCACAAAAUUUUCUGAAAACUGGAGCCAGGGAUGGUGGCAAAAACCUGUAAUCACAACCACUUGAGAGGCUAAGGCAGGAGGAUACCAAGAUGGAG